rnacentral:rRNA from 1 species
UACGGAGGGGGGCGAGCGUUGUCCGAAGUUACUGGGCGUAAAGCGCGCGUAGGCGGGGAGCCAAGUCCGCUGUGAAAGCCUGAGGCUUAACCUCAGCGGGUCGGUGGAUACUGGUUCUCUUGAAGGCGUUAGGGGGAGAUGGAAUUACCGGUGUAGCGGUGAAAUGCGUAGAUAUCGGUAGGAACACCCCGUGGCGAAAGGCGGUCUCCUGGGACGUUCUUGACGCUGAGGCGCGAAAGCUGGGGGAGCGAACGGGG